rnacentral:rRNA from 1 species
UACGGGGGGGGUAAGCGUUGUUCGGAAUUACUGGGCGUAAAGGGCUCGUAGGCGGCCAACUAAGUCAGACGUGAAAUCCCUCAGCUUAACUGGGGAACUGCGUCUGAUACUGGAUGGCUUGGAUUCGGGAGAGGAAUGCGGAAUUCCAGGUGUAGCGGUGAAAUGCGUAGAUAUCUGGAGGAACACCGGUGGCGAAGGCGGCAGUCUGGACCGACAUUGACGCUGAGGAGCGAAAGCCAGGGGAGCAAACGGG